rnacentral:tRNA from 1 species
GCCUCUGUGGCGGAACUGGUAGACGCGACAGACUCAAAAUCUGUUAUCCGUAAGGGUGUGGGGGUUCGAGUCCCUCCAGGGGCACCA